UGGGGAAUUUUGGACAAUGGGCGCAAGCCUGAUCCAGCAAUGCCGCGUGCAGGAAGAAGGCCUUCGGGUUGUAAACUGCUUUUGUCAGGGAAGAAAUCCUCUGGGUUAAUACCUCGGGGGAUGACGGUACCUGAAGAAUAAGCACCGGCUAACUACGUGCCAGCAGCCGCGGUAAUACGUAGGGUGCGAGCGUUAAUCGGAAUUACUGGGCGUAAAGCGUGCGCAGGUGGUUGUGCAAGACAGGUGUGAAAUCCCCGGGCUUAACCUGGGAACUGCACUUGUGACUGCACGGCUAGAGUACGGUAGAGGGGGGAUGGAAUUCCGCGUGUAGCAGUGAAAUGCGUAGAUAUGCGGAGGAACACCGAUGGCGAAGGCAAUCCCCUGGACCUGUACUGACGCUCAUGCACGAAAGCGUGGGGAGCAAACAGGAUUAGAUACCCUGGUAGUCCACGCCCUAAACGAUGUCAACUGGUUGUUGGACGGCUUGCUGUUCAGUAACGAAGCUAACGCGUGAAGUUGACCGCCUGGGGAGUACGGCCGCAAGGUUGAAACUCAAAUGAAUUGACGGGGUCAUAGCUGUUUCCUG
rnacentral:rRNA from 1 species